AUACGGAGGGGGCUAGCGUUGUUCGGAAUUACUGGGCGUAAAGCGCGCGUAGGCGGAUUGAUCAGUCAGGGGUGAAAUCCCGAGGCUUAACCUCGGAACUGCCUCUGAUACUGUCAAUCUUGAGUUCGAGAGAGGUGAGUGGAAUUCCUAGUGUAGAGGUGAAAUUCGUAGAUAUUAGGAAGAACACCAGUGGCGAAGGCGGCUCACUGGCUCGAUACUGACGCUGAGGUGCGAAAGCGUGGGGAGCAAACAGGAUUAGAAACCCUAGUAGUCC
rnacentral:rRNA from 1 species